UACGUAGGUGGCAAGCGUUGUCCGGAUUUACUGGGCGUAAAGAGCGCGCAGGCGGUCGGAUAAGUCGAAUGUGAAAGCCCCCGGCUUAACUGGGGAGGGUCAUUCGAUACUGUUCGACUGGAAGGCAGGAGAGGGAAGCGGAAUUCCCGGUGUAGUGGUGAAAUGCGUAGAUACUCGGGAGGAACACCAGUGGCGAAAGCGGCUCACUGGACCACAACUGACGCUGAUGGCACGAAAGACUAGGGGAGCAAACCAGG
rnacentral:rRNA from 1 species